rnacentral:rRNA from 1 species
UAGGGAAUCUUCCACAAUGGGCGCAAGCCUGAUGGAGCAACACCGCGUGAGUGAAGAAGGGUUUCGGCUCGUAAAGCUCUGUUGUUGGAGAAGAACGUGCGUGAGAGUAACUGUUCACGCAGUGACGGUAUUUAACCAGAAAGUCACGGCUAACUACGUG